rnacentral:rRNA from 1 species
UACGGAGGGGGCUAGCGUUAUUCGGAAUUACUGGGCGUAAAGCGCACGUAGGCGGAUUGUUAAGUCGGGGGUGAAAUCCUGAGGCUCAACCUCAGAACUGCCUUCGAUACUGGCAAUCUCGAGUCCGGAAGAGGUUGGUGGAACAGCUAGUGUAGAGGUGAAAUUCGUAGAUAUUAGCUAGAACACCAGUGGCGAAGGCGGCCAACUGGUCCGGUACUGGACGCUGAGGUGCGAAAAGCGUGGGGAGCAAACAGGG